rnacentral:rRNA from 1 species
UACGUAGGGGCAAGCGUUGUUCGGAAUUACUGGGCGUAAAGGGCUCGUAGGCGGCCAACUAAGUCAGACGUGAAAUCCCUCGGCUUAACCGGGGAACUGCGUCUGAUACUGGAUGGCUUGAGGUUGGGAGAGGGAUGCGGAAUUCCAGGUGUAGCGGUGAAAUGCGUAGAUAUCUGGAGGAACACCGGUGGCGAAGGCGGCAUCCUGGACCAAUUCUGACGCUGAGGAGCGAAAGCCAGGGGAGCAAAGCGGG